rnacentral:lncRNA from 1 species
CCUGUAAUAAUUAACGCAAGAGUGGUCCAGUAAAUUCAUGCUCACCAAAUGUAAAGAUUCACAGAUCCCGAGGACAGUGUGGCCACAGCAGUUGCCAGAAGGUGUCAUCACAACACCACAGGACAACCUCAUCCAGAUGGAGCCUUUGCCACCUCUGCCUGCUCUCGUCCUACCAAUGGAGCUGGACCCACAAAUGCCGCAGUAGCCAACGCCUUCUACAUUGUGGUAUGGGCCUCAGGAGGUGGACAUGUACCCUUCUGGAUGUCUUCCGGGGGACAUUGCCACCAGUGCACAGGCCAGAUAGUGGGGUAUGACUGGAAGUCUCACGUCCCCUGCAGCCACAGCUUCCAGUCCACUAGUGUGUCCACCCUGCUGCCUCCCCCACUGUUUUCGUGCUCCAUAUACAGUGACAGUCCAUCACCUUGGUGGGGAGCAAUGUAACGGCAUAAAGUCAAGCACCAGCAUGCUAUUUGGGAAUGAUAGAAAAGAGGUGGCUGUGAGAAGACGUCAGCCAGUCGCACGCUGACUGACCCCUCUCCAGGAUGACUACAAGACAAUAGCAGGCCCUAUGUGAAGAGGACAUAAGUGCCGUGACUGACUGGUGAUGCUCCAGUUGAAUAGCCACUUCACGACCAGCAGCUGGAUAGAAGUGUCAGUGCUCAUUACUUUGCUUGUACACUCUAUGUAACACAGACAUGGGAACUGUUAUACUGAAGAAAUUGCUUAUUUUGUAUGUCACUCUUUGCUUGUGACACAUCUGUGUAAUUGUCAGAUUUAAGUAUUGUCUUUUAAUUUUUUGUAAUAAAACUCAUUAAUAUGA